rnacentral:rRNA from 1 species
UGGCAUGGAGCGCCCGUAGCUUUGUGAUACGCUUUCUAAGAGUCGAGUUGUUUGGGAAUGCAGCUCAAAAUGGGUGGUAAAUGCCAUCUAAGGCUAAAUAUUGGGGAGAGACCGAUAGCGAACAAGUACAGUGAUGGAAAGAUGAAAAGAACUUUGAAANNAGAGUUAAACAGUACGUGAAAUUGCCAAAAGGGAAGGGUAGGAGGUCAGAGAUGCGUCUUGGGAUUCAGCCUUGCUUUUGCCUGGUGUUUUUCCCAAGCUGCAGGCCAACGUCGGUUUUGGGCACUGGAGAAGGGUAGGAGGAACGUGGCACCUCUCGGGGUGUGUUAUAGCCUCCUACUGGAUACAGCGACCGAGACCGAGGAACGCAGCGUACUCGUAAGAGCGGGCCUUUUGGCACCUUUACGCUUAGGGCG